rnacentral:RNase_P_RNA from 1 species
CGGAGGGUCCGUCGCUCGUCUUUCGGGACGGGAGGAAAGUCCGGGCAACACAGAGCACCAUAUUUCCUAACGGGAAGCUAUCGGUAACGGUAGAGUAGUGUGACAGAAAAUAACCGCCUCCGCCUUGUGCGGAGGUAAGGGUGAAAAGGUGAGGUAAGAGCUCACCGGGCACCGUGGCAACACGGCGCGCCGCAUGCCUUAUGGGUUGCAAAGCCAAGUAUACCGGCAUUCAAGGGCUGCUCGUCCAUUGCCGGGGGGUAGGCUGCGUCAGAUAAAUGACGGACGGCGCCGGUUAACUCCUUCGGGAAAGUGACCGCGCUACAUAACCCGGCUUAUACUCCGACC